rnacentral:ribozyme from 1 species
GGAGUAGCCAAACAAGAGCUCAAAAGAGAGGUAGGACACACGAGAAACGCAACGCUUUCUGCCUGCAAGGCAAGGGGGAUUGCACAACUUAACGACGCAUGCAUACAAGGCAAGUCUUGCUUGCUCUUGGUUGAGAUGUAUUCUA